GAUGAACGCUAGCUACAGGCUUAACACAUGCAAGUCGAGGGGUAACGAGAGGAAAGCUUGCUUUCCUUGUCGACGACCGGCGCACGGGUGAGUAACGCGUAUCCAACCUGCCCCCAACUAGGGAAUAACCUUGCGAAAGUAAGACUAAUACCCUAUAAUUUCCUCAGAUGUCAUCUGACGAGGAAUAAAGAUUUAUCGGUUGUGGAUGGGGAUGCGUCUGAUUAGCUUGUUGGCGGGGUAACGGCCCACCAAGGCAACGAUCAGUAGGGGUUCUGAGAGGAAGGUCCCCCACAUUGGAACUGAGACACGGUCCAAACUCCUACGGGAGGCAGCAGUGAGGAAUAUUGGUCAAUGGGCGGAAGCCUGAACCAGCCAAGUAGCGUGCAGGAUGACGGCCCUAUGGGUUGUAAACUGCUUGGAUACAGGAAUAAAGUUAGCCACGUGUGGUUAUUUGUAGGUACUGUAUGAAUAAGGACCGGCUAAUUCCGUGCCAGCAGCCGCCGUAA
rnacentral:rRNA from 1 species